rnacentral:lncRNA from 1 species
CGGUUGUGUUCCAGACUUCCAGCCAGUUCCAGCCCUUGUCCAGCCCUCGUAUGUUUGAUUAUUGAAUUCAAAAGAAGGGUGAAAUGUAUUCAUUGUUGAACGAAAUAUUGUGCACAAUUCUCUUUUCAACUGCUUUCAAAACAAGAUUCGUUACCUGCUACCAGCUAUCAUGCUGAUUGACAAACGUGCUGAGACUCUGAAAGUGAGACCAAGCUAGUGAGGCCAAUUUUCGCUGAUGCAUGGCUGUUGGUGUUAGUUGCCACCUAAAAAUCGUGUAAACUGAUUGUAUCGACGGUUUUGUACUUUUCAACCUAAACAUAUAUCGGACGUCUUGAACUUGCUGGGGAAAGUGUAGAGAGCUCAACUUUGAAUUAUCCAUCAGGUCAACAAUAACAACACUUGAUGUAAUGUGUUCAACACUGGAUCGAUAAAUCUCUUCUUGUGGCCCAGCAUGAUCCGCUGUGAAAUAACUUUUUCUGUGAACCACUAACAUUAUGACUAUGACAAUGAAGUUGUUGUACAGUGAAAUUCAACUCUGAAGGUCGAACGACAGCUGUUUUCAAAUCCGUAGGAAAACCUUGAACUCUUAUAAGGAUUUUACUGCUGAACUGAACGACCUUCUCCCGAAUCGUCUCGCGGAAUGAUGUGUCGGGACGAGGUCUUAUCAGAUGAAGACGGAUUAAGGCGAGGUCGUCUGGCCAAAUAAUUCCACGAAAUUAACCUGCAUCCAUCAAUUUAAAGGUGUAAGGAAGGCUCAACUGUGAAUCCGCGAUUGCUGACCAAAUAAUGGUAGCCUGUCGGAAUGGAAAUGGAUCAACUGAUAGCGUACUUUACGCCACCUAAGCUCAAAA